rnacentral:rRNA from 1 species
GGGGGGGGGGGGGGGGGGGGGGGGGGGGGGGGGGGGGGGGGGGGGGGGGGGGGCGGGCGUGUCGGGAGGGGUUGCGGACGGGUGAGUGACGCGUAGGGGACCUGCCUGGUAGCGGGGGAUAACGAUUGGGAACGAUAGCGAAUACCGCCUAAUAGUAGAUGUUGCAUGACAUUUGCUUAAAAGGUGCAAUUGCAUCACUACCAGAUGGACCUGCGUUGUAUUAGCUAGUUGGUGAGGUAACGGCUCACCAAGGCGACGAUACAUAGCCGACCUGAGAGGGUGAUCGGCCACACUGGGACUGAGACACGGCCCAGACGCCUACGGGAGGCAGCAGUAGGGAAUCUUCGGCAAUGGACGGAAGUCUGAACGAGCAACGCCGCGUGAGUGAAGAAGGUUUUCGGAUCGUAAAGCUCUGUUGUAAGAGAAGAACGAGUGUGAGAGUGGAAAGUUCACACUGUGACGGUAUCUUACCAGAAAGGGACGGCUAACUACGUG